CAGGUAUUGUAAUUGGUGUGAAAUAUACACAACGAUAUUGAUUCAUGAGACAAUUUGACCUGAAUAUUUUUGGGGUUUUUUCAGUUCUGUGCACCUUGGGGUAUUUACUUCACAUCUUUUGGUCUCUGUAUUAAGGGAUAAGGGCUCCUGUAUGUUCAUUCUGAUAUUCAUACCAGCUUUAUAAUUUCCUGAAAUGUGGUUAAAUGUUUUAUAAUUCAAAUUAGGAACACCCCAGAGUUUGUUCAUGCUGUGGAAAGAGGGGGAGGGUCCAUUUUGCAAGAUUGCAAAUUUGUAGCAAGCAUCUGUUAAAGUAAAGUGUGUGUAUACAUUUGUGUGCACUAUUGAUAGCAGCCACUAAACCAUGACACAGCUGGCCCGAAAAACCUAUUCCCCUUAUCCCUACUGUCUUCAGAUCCUGUAGACUCUGCCUGGGCAAAGCCCCCCCGUCAGAUGUGGCCCAGCCGAGUGUGGUGGAGCUUGCCUGGUUUAACGCAGCGGGGACCAGCAGGGGCUUUUGUGUAGGAUCUUGCAGCGCAGCAGUUCCAAGGUCUCGCAGGACUCAAACCCACAGAGAUGCCACACCUAUAGUUUCAGGAAGCCCAGGGCACAAAGUGUGCAUUUUCCAAAAAAGCCACACAGACCAAAUAAAAGGUAGGACUAUUUAUAUAAAAUGCCCUGAUUGCUACCUAAACACCUCAUUUAAACUUGUGGAGAUGGAGCAGAGAUAUGACCAGGAGAAUGGGCCUGUGGCCAUUGUGAUUCUGGCUGCUGAAUUCUCUCAUUGUGGGUCUAAUGGAGGCAGAGAUAAGAUUUUUGGUGCUGUUUAACACCGCAGUCCCCCUGGCUCCAGCACUUGUGGCUGGCCAAUGGCGUGCCUGGCUGGAGGCAGGGAGGUGUAGGGUUACGAGAUGACAAGAACAAUGGGCUUAGUGCAGAGUCAGCACUAUCUGCCGGCUUCGCCUUGGCUGUUUUUUUUCCCCCCUCCAACAAAUCUGGCUAACCAAUGACUGCUGUGGAGGGAGAGUAAGCGCGUAUAUUGACACACACAUGUGCACACGCACACACAUGCACACACACAAAGAAAGAAAGAAAGCAACAAGGAAGUCAGUGGGGGUUGGAAGGAUUGUCU
rnacentral:lncRNA from 1 species